UGGAGAAUAUUGGACAAUGGGGGGAACCCUGAUCCAGCCAUGCCGCGUGUGUGAAGAAGGCCUUUUGGUUGUAAAGCACUUUAAGCGAGGAGGAGGCGCUCUAGGAUAAUACCCUAGAUGCGUGGACGUUACUCGCAGAAUAAGCACCGGCUAACUCUGUGCCAGCAGCCGCGGUAAUACAGAGGGUGCGAGCGUUAAUCGGAUUUACUGGGCGUAAAGCGCGCGUAGGUGGCUAAUUAAGUCAAAUGUGAAAUCCCCGAGCUUAACUUGGGAAUUGCAUUCGAUACUGGUUAGCUAGAGUAUGGGAGAGGAUGGUAGAAUUCCAGGUGUAGCGGUGAAAUGCGUAGAGAUCUGGAGGAAUACCGAUGGCGAAGGCAGCCAUCUGGCCUAAUACUGACAC
rnacentral:rRNA from 1 species